AGUCCUACUACGCUUAAUUCUUUGUAUCAAAGAAGCGGGGGAACCAAGUUUUCUGGGGUGAGUACACGAUUCUGCCCGAAUUGUUGCGGCAGACAAAGUGUUAGGGUCAUCUUUCGAUCCGAAUCCGUCAGCUAACUUCGUCAGCGUAGAAAGAGUAGGA
rnacentral:sRNA from 2 species